AUGGCCGACGCGAGUCAAAGUGUAGUAUUUGUUCUUAUCAGCUUAAUAUCUGAUACUGGUUGUAUUUGGACCCAAGAUAUUAAACUUACUUUUGCAAGUUGGUGGAGUGCUUGAAGCCUGCUUCUCCACCACUGCGAAUAGGCCCGGUACUGCACUAUCGCCGGGAUUUUUGGUCUACGGAC